rnacentral:lncRNA from 1 species
CCAAAAGGGAAGACAGACGGCUCUCGUAGUCAAACAUAUCUCUCAGUAUAUUGAGAGGGCAAAGUCAGGGCAAAAAGGCGGUGUGUACUGGACGCAGGAGAGAGAAGCAAGCAGAUGUGGGCGCGGGUCAACCUCUGCAGUAAAGGCAAAGUUUUGGGGCCAAAGUUUCCAGUCUUCUAUGAGAUCCCUGGAAGCACCGAGUCCCACAGCCCCUUCCAUGAGCCACACGAAGACUGGAUUAUGCAAUUUACAGCAUAACCCAAAAGGCCAGGAGCUGACACAGUAACCAGCCCCAUAACGCCAGUGUGGAUAUCUCCAGCUGAACCCUGGUCUGCCAAAAUGUACCUGCUGUAUAGAGUGACUAAAAAUGUGUUCAUCUAUUCAGUCUUUUGGUCAGCAAAUAUAACUGAACAUUGAUUAUGUACAUCUUAUGAAGGUGUUGAUCCUGAGAACACUCCCUAACAAACUUCCCGCAGCUAAUCUCUCUCAGAGUGUGCUUCCCAGAGAACCCAACCUGAACAGCUCCAACAGCACCUCUCCUCAGAACAGUCUAUCUCACAGGAAGAAGUCAGGACCACAGCAAGAACUGGUGGAAGAAAUUUGCAGUCAGAGAAAACUGCAUGUGCAAAAGCCCUGAGGCGGGAGGUGCGUGCAGUGACGACCAGUGCAGCGGGAGUGCAGAAGAGUGGUAUGAGAUGAGCCUGGAGGAGGGUGGAGCAUGGAGUCCAUGUGAAAGACUUUGGUCUUUUAUGAAGAAGGGAUAGUUAUGGUCAAAUUCAUAAUGUCCUGAUUCUUCUUUUCCCGUCAUCUGUCCAUCUCCGCCAUGGUCUGCUUCACUAGCUGCAAGUAUAAAUACGGUCUCAUCUCUUUUAUUUUUUCCUAUUAAUUGCUGGAGCCCCCAUAUGUCAAACUGCUCACAUGUGAAGCCUCCCACCGCAGGCAUCCAAGACCCCCAAGGUCUUACUCAGUCCAAAGCAGAAGGCAGCUUCUCCUUCCCAAUAGCACAGAGAGAUGAAAAGGACUAGUGAGCUCAGUAGUGCCCUGUCACAGCCUCUGGUCACUGUCAAGCACUAUCCCACACAUACAGAUACUUGUGUGCUGCCGAGGGGAGGAGAGGCUCCAGGGGUAAACUCCGACUUACCUUGCUCUCGCUCAGCCAUUAUCUCCAGAGAAGAGUCUGGGGGGCUGGGCCUGUAGGAGUGUCCACCUGUCCAGGCCCAAUUCUUUACCACCAGCCCAAGUGCCACUCUGGAAGCCUCGGUGUCCUUCCUGCCAGGGGACCUCCCUUAGGAUGAGGCUAAUCCUUCAAGAAGCUCCCACGUGUCGAACCUCUCAGGAGGCUGCUGCGCUUCCAUGCAGUCUUGCCUUCCUCGUCCCCCAGACCAGGGGACCUGCAGACCAGGGGACACCUGUGGAGGCGUUUCUGUCAGGGCACAGCAGCUCCUGUCACUCUCUAGGCCAAUAUAGCCCAUGGCAAACGGCCUUUCCCACUAUAACAAGACCAAGCCCACGGCCACCUGCUCUCUCCAUUUCCAGACAUAGAG